ACUCUGGUGGAAGUGUGAAUGAAUUUGAAAGGGGUGUAACACUGUUCUACUUUGUUUACUCCUCAGUACCCUUGGCUGUGUACAUUUGAGUAAAGAGAGCACUAUAAAAUCAAAAACCAAUGAAAUGGUUUCCAGAACACAGAACUAUUAAGCUUAAGAAAAGGACAGAAGGAACUGAAGAGAGAGGAACUGUUUUGGAGCAUCACACUUCCACCUCAGAAGAAAUAAGGAAGGAAGGAGGAGGGUGUUCCCACGGCUCUUCAACCAGGCCGGCUCUUCAGCCUACAUCCCCAUCUCAUCAAGUAAAAGGGAUUUUUCAACUGGACCAACCAGAUGGUUUAACAGUGCACUCCCACACCAUUCAACUACGCAAGGGAGAUACACUUAACAUAUGCAGUCGUAUAACACCUACUAACAUUUUCAAACAUUAAACCUUUAAAAAAGAGUUCUAAAGAAAUAGAAGCUUGAAGUAUCAUCUCUCAAGUAUAUAGACACUACUUCAUGGUGUGGUAAUAUAUGCAUAUAGAAGCUAGUAAACACCUCCAGGAGAUGCAAAAGGAAUUAGAACUGCCACAAGGUGCAAGCAAAACCUUGAGCUUCUUUAAAAUAUGAAGACUUCGAAGUUAUUUAUCCAAACCAACCUGAUCAUUUCUUAAGAGUGAAUAUACCUUGGAAGACGUGUCCUGCCUUUAGUAGCGUCACAAUGGAUUACAUCCUCUAUAAAGCAGUCUGGGGUGAGAAAAUCGAAUUUGGACACCGUUGAGGAGACUAUUGCAGUCAUCCAAGCUCAAGAUGGUGGAGCUUCAUCCUUGAGAAUAACCAAUGGGGAUAGAUUUAAGAGACACUUAGAGUCUGCAGCCAACAGGGCUGAAUGAGCAUUCUGUUUUUCCUCUUCUAAUCCUUCACCCAUCUGAGCUAAAGUCUAGACCUAAGGAGGCUACUAAUUCAGGGAUCGAGUAAUCUGCCAAGCAAGAGUUUAUUCAAGCACAGUUUGAAAUAAAGGUUUCAAAUGCAUAGCCUGUCGAUACUUUGGAAGGAUUCUCAUCAUAACGAGAUAUGGGAGGACACCUGAGACGGCAGGCCAGAAGUCACUCAGUAGGAGAAACAUCCGUUAGAAGUAAUAAUGUGGGAUUGCUGAAGUAAAGACUAUAGGAAGAAAAAAGUGUCUGUGUGUAGGAAACGGAAAGGGAGAGAAAAAUACACUGAGAUGGUAAAGUAAGGAAGUGGAAGAUCAGCAGAAUGUGCAGAUGCCAAGCCAUCCAAGAAAAUCAUCUCUUGUGAUUGUUGCGAAGUCAACUAGCUAAUGUGACUCACUGCUAGGCUGUUGGAUCUGAGACUUAUGUGGGAUAAUUUAGAAACUUGCUAGUGUCUUAAGAUCAAUUACUCACCAAUGAGAGUGGCAUUGAACUGUGAAUGUUCCUCCUAGAUUUUCCAUGAAGACUAAUGGUUUUGUCUUGUCUUGAAUUUGUUUUAAUUACAAUUUGUAUACAUCCUGUUCCACCCUGAAAUUUUUAUUUUCCAAAUGGUUUUUCAUUUAAAGAGACUAAAUAAAGGUUCUGACUGAGUUGUA
rnacentral:lncRNA from 1 species